GAGCAGAACGUGUGUAAGGCAGGGUUGUAAAAUAGGAAUGUGUAAGUGUCCUCUUACAACAGGCCAAGGAAGUGUCUGAGCCCCCAAAAAGUCUGCACACCCGCACUAAUGCUCGCCCCUAAAUAGGCAAUAAAGUGUUUACCACAUGUUUGGAAGAAACAUGUGCUUCAUUCAGCCUACUCUCCCACUCGGCUUUGCAUACAGACCGUCACUUCAUUCAGAGGAGUCAAAAUGAUUCAGUCACAGUACUUUUCAGAAAUCAAUGACGAGGACUUUAGAGAUAUCGUAAUCACAGAUGACGAUUUUGGCGUGAUAGAUGACAGAGGCGUUGCAUAUAACAAUCAAAAUCCAGCAGUCUUUACAGGGGUUAUUGAAAUUGAGGAGGUAAUGCCUGAAGAAAGACCACGGGCCAACGGGCAGCCAAUUGUGCUGCGAGACG